CUAGAGUUUGAUCCUGGCUCAGGAUGAACGCUGGCGGCGUGCCUAACACAUGCAAGUCGAGCGAAGCGGUUUUGGUGAAGUUUUCGGAUGGAAGCGUUUGUGACUGAGCGGCGGACGGGUGAGUAACGCGUGGGUAACCUGCCUCAUACAGGGGGAUAACAGUUAGAAAUGACUGCUAAUACCGCAUAAGACCACAGCGCCGCAUGGUGCAGGGGUAAAAACUCCGGUGGUAUGAGAUGGACCCGCGUCUGAUUAGCUAGUUGGUAAGGUAACGGCUUACCAAGGCGACGAUCAGUAGCCGACCUGAGAGGGUGACCGGCCACAUUGGGACUGAGACACGGCCCAAACUCCUACGGGAGGCAGCAGUGGGGAAUAUUGCACAAUGGGGGAAACCCUGAUGCAGCGACGCCGCGUGAGCGAAGAAGUAUUUCGGUAUGUAAAGCUCUAUCAGCAGGGAAGAAACUGACGGUACCUGACUAAGAAGCACCGGCUAAAUACGUGCC
rnacentral:rRNA from 1 species